UNGCUUUGCCUUGGCUCAAGACCCAUCU
rnacentral:piRNA from 1 species